UAAUGCAGCAGCAGCAGCACAGUUUCAGACAGUCUUGUGAGGUGAUUUUGAAAGACGGGUACUAUAUUUCCUGUAGAGCUACCAGCUGAAAGUGGCCGACAACCACUCUGUCAAUCAAUCUAUCAAUAUUCUGAUUAAAAAAAUAUGACUCUUGCAAUAUAUUUUCACCUUAAGUUCAGGGAAAACACAGUACUUUAAGAAGGGUUAAGAGGGUUCUUAAAACAGACAAUAUACUCUUUAUGAAAUGCAACCGUGCCGACUAAGAGAAUGUAACCGUACACACACACACGCUCCCUCACACACACUCACACUCACACACACACACACACACACACACACACACACACACACACACACACACACGCUCCCUCACACACACUCACACACACACACACACACACACACACACACACACACACACACACACACACACACACACACACACACACACACACACACACACACACACACACACACAC